AGGAGGUGUUCCAACCCAGUUCACUGGGCAGCAGUUGCAACCAUUCGAUGCCGCCAAUCAGCAAUGCCACGAGCACCCCGAUACCGGUGACCGCGGUGUUGAACACCAGCUUGCGCACUGCAUCGGACAUCGCCCAGUCAUAGAUGCGCAGCAUCACCAGACCAUCGAGCGUAUCCAUCAGGCUCAUGCCGGCGGUAAACAGCAGCGGAAACACCAUCACGCCCCAGAGACUCAUGGCGCCAUGCUGGGCAAGGCUCGCGGACAGGCCCAGGAUCGCGAUUUCGGUGGCGGUAUCAAAACCGAGGCCAAACAGAAACCCGAUCGGGUACAUCUGCCAACUGGCGUGGAUGCGCCCGUACAGGCGCCGGAACACGCGCGACAUGAAGCCGCGCUGCUCCAGUAGCGCAUCGGUGUUGGCUUGCUCAAUGUCCGUUCCGCCGGCGCGUGUGCGCUUCAAUGCCCGCAGCAGCAGGAUGAGGAUGCGCAGGUUGACCAGACCAAUCACAGUCAGGAACAGGGCCCGAGACCACGGUGCCGACCACGCCCGCCAUGCCCGAGCAUCAGCGCCAUGUGCGAUUUCGGUUUCCCGGGCCCGGCAAGCGCGGAGCCCCCAGCGACAGGAAGAAUCACCACCGUCGAGUGACCCGAGCGAGAAAAACAGACCCGACGCUUGCCCGGGGCCCGCUUGGCCAUCCUUGGGGCAACCUUUGAGCCGUCAACGUUUCUCGAAUCGCCGGGCGAUUGUGAAUCCGGGCAAUCUAAAAGGCAUUGG
rnacentral:rRNA from 1 species